rnacentral:lncRNA from 1 species
GAGCUCUACUUCAUGAGCCUAGAUCCGAUUUCUAGAAGAAAGAAUUGAAUAGAAGGAUAGAGAGGCAAGAGAUGCAAAUGACAGGUAAUUAUCUUAUUUCCCUUUCUGUUUUUGUUGUUUCUUUUUUUCUUGCUUAUGUGUGCAUGGUGCACUCAUUGAAGUGAACGAAAGUUCAACUAAGGAGUGCUUCUUUUAACCUGGGUUGUUGACUUGAUAUCCUUUUGGUGAUGCUUCCUGUAAUCAAGCUGUUGGUUAUGCAUAUUUUAAAACAUUACAAGUUAUUCUUGAGUUUACUGUUUCAUUGGCCCGUCGGCAUGCUUGCCUUGACAUUUAAUAAUGUACUUAUCUAUUUUAAAUUGGUACCCUUGUACCUUGUUAUCUUGUAUGUUUUCAUCUCAUUAUGAUGCAACAUUGUUGUGUUUUGUCAUUUAUAGGCAUCGGGAGGAGUUAGUCGCAAGACUUGAAGCACGAGAGAGAGCAUUUUAAGAGAUACAAAAGAAGCAGCAAGAAGAAUUGGAAGCUUUAAAAAAGAGCCCGCAAGAGAAGACUGAAGCCUGGGCAAAGAAGCAAAAGGAGACGGGACAAUCUGCUUGAUUUUUUGAGGGCUCAAGCAACUCUGCAGUCCCAGUCCCAACCAGAUGGUUCAUGAAUGCCAUCCUUACAUUGCAAUCAUCAGGAUAACAUAUGUGGUCUUUAGUUAAUAUUAGUUUUCAUCUUGUCUAUUGUCUGUGUUAAACUUGAGUCAGCUUUUUACCGCCAUUUUUGUUUACAGAAUGAUUUGGCUGAGAUGAUUUCAUACAUAAUAUGAUUUGUCUUUGAUAUCAAUUUAUGAUGUGUUUUUUCUCUUCAACUUUUUUAUAUAAUCUUAUGUGAUGUGAUCUGAAAUAAAUACUUAUUUUCAUCAUAAUUAGA